GUAAAGUGUUAUACAACUAGGUAUUGGAAAGUCACGAAACAGGAAGAACAGAGAGAGGGCGGCGCGAGAAAGAGGAAGAGAGAAAGGGGGAGAGUGGUGAGGCCGGACCAAGAGGCUUAGGAGGAGGCUGUUAUGGGUGAUACUCAGAGCAACAAAGGUAGACCACGGCCACCCAAAAGCCGCCGGCGUCAAGGGGAAAUCGGAGAAGAAAAGAGUUUUGAUCUGAAAUUCUUAAAAGGAAAGUCAUUGGUUUUCUUAUCCUCGUUGAUUUCGUGAUCAAUACAUCUGUUGAACGGCUUUAGGGUCCUCUACAAUUCCAGACGUAGAGUCAGCUCGUGCAGAGCAGAGGCCAGACUUCAUCACUCUUCCGGUGUCAUAGACGUAGGACCUCCACUAUGUUUUUGUUAUUUAUUAUUUUUGAGUUAGACGUUUAUUUAUUUCGUCUUAAGUUUGGGUUUUUUUAUUAGGGGUCCACAUUGUAUAGAUUCACAAGUUGUACUCUAGAGGUUUUAUUCUUAUAAUGAGAAUUUAUUGGAGAUUAUUGUAUUAGAGGAUUUAUUAUUUAAUUAUUAAUUUAGAUUUCCCUUUCAAUGUUA